GAGAUAUCUUGCCAUCAACAGCAUUGUCCACAAAUUCCAAGUGACAUCCAGUAAUUUUUAACUUCAUUCGUUCUCUUCCAUGAAGAGUUACAAGCAUUUCACAACAUAAACUAAUAGCCAUAGAAGAAGAAGGGGCCCAUACCCAUAGCAGUCAUGAAAUCCUUACAAACUAUCAUUGAAAAUAACUGAAGACUACCAUACGGCAAGAGCAAAAGUUAUCUCUACAAAAUAUAAGUCUACCGUGCCAUUAAAGGAUCAUAGUUUCCAACAAAAAACACAUAGUUUAAAAAACAGCAAAUCCCAGUCUUUCUAUACACAUGAAUCAUGGCCUUCUCCUUUGCUAUUCACGUCCGUGCUUCGCUUUCCUUACAGAAUGUCACGUUCAAUGAAAUCUCAAUGUCUCAUUUUUCAGCUAUUUGAGCUAGACUAUCGAACAUGGUUGGCAAAUCUUCAACUUCUUUGAUGGGUGCAGGAUUAAUUGACUCAUUAAUAUUAUUUGAUUCAUCGCUUGAUUCUUCAUUCACAACCCAAUCAAAAUUCCACAAUUAUUACUGCAGGUUUUGAAUAAUCGUCCUCUGUUAUUAGUCUCGCGUUCAACCUCAAAACAUUUCUGCAAUCCUUAUGCACACCAUGGACAUCAUCGUUUUAUCGGUUAAUCCCUAAAGAAGUGCUUCAUGCUUCUAUAGCCAUGACAAACACCAGCAUUCUGUCCUCCCAUCCUGGACAGAAAAUCAGCAAAUAAAAUCAGGAAGAAAAAUUCUAGAUCAAUCCCUUAGUUUUCAAAGUUCUCUAUCUCAGCCAAUCCAACCUUUUUCAUAGAUUCUAAAUAACAAUGCAUAUGCCUCCAACAAUCUUUCAUCCAAUGCAUAUAUUAUUCUAUUGAUUACGAAAGCCUGAUGACGUAGUACUACAAAUCGCGAGUACUUCCUGUAAGUGUUAUGCCCUAGAUCCAAUCG
rnacentral:lncRNA from 1 species